rnacentral:rRNA from 1 species
AUUGAACGCUGGCGGCAGGCCUAACACAUGCAAGUCGAACGAGUGGCGGACGGGUGAGUAAUGUCUGGGAAACUGCCCGAUGGAGGGGGAUAACUACUGGAAACGGUAGCUAAUACCGCAUACCCUGAGAUGUGCCCAGAUGGGGUUAGCUAGUCGGUGGGGUAACGGCUCACCUAGGCGACGAUGCCUAGCUGGUCUGAGAGGAUGAGCAGCCACACUGGAACUGAGACACGGUCCAGACGCCUACGGGAGGCAGCAGUGGGGAAUAUUGCACAAUGGGCGCAAGCCUGAUGCAGCCAUGCCGCGUGUAUGAAGAAGGCCUUCGGGUUGUAAAGUACUUUCAGCGAGGAGGCGUUACUCGCAGAAGAAGCACCGGCUAACUCCGUGCCAGCAGCCGCGGUAAUAC